rnacentral:rRNA from 1 species
UACAGAGGGUGCGAGCGUUGUCCGGAAUCAUUGGGCGUAAAGCGCGUGUAGGCGGUUCAGUAAGUCUGCUGUGAAAGUCCAGGGCUCAACCCUGGGAUGCCGGUGGAUACUGCUGGGCUAGAGUACGGAAGAGGCGAGUGGAAUUCCCGGUGUAGCGGUGAAAUGCGCAGAUAUCGGGAGGAACACCAAUUGCGAAGGCAGCUCGCUGGGACGUUACUGACGCUGAGACGCGAAAGCGUGGGGAGCAAACAGG